AUACCCUUAACUUUUGGCUAAGAUCAAGUGUAGUAUCUGUUCUUCUGAGUUUAUCAUCUCAUAUGAUUCACACGAUAUUUUUUUAUAUGGGAAAAGACUCAUCACAAUAGCUUACUAUUGGGGUUUUUUAGCGUCCCUUAUGUGUUCCAUACCGUAUGGACCUGACGCACCCCUA
rfam:Cephalotus follicularis DNA, scaffold: scaffold4798, isolate: St1.